CGGCACUGCAGCUGAGGACCCCCGCGUUCCCUAGCAACGCCCCAAACCUGCGGAGGCGACUCCUGCACCCGCCGGGCCCACGCUGGGGGUAGGCGAGGGGAGACGCGCCUCGCCGGGCUUCUUCCUGAACAGGGUUUCUCUCCUUCCUCCGUGAAAAAGGAUCCCGAGGUGGAGUCACGGUGGAGGAACUCAGAAGCUCUUUGCUGCAGCCCAGUGGCCGCCGGCGGAACCUGACGGGGCUCGGAGGCCCGGGCGGGACAGGGCCAGGCCGUGAGCGUGCCCUUUAUCCCCCACAGCCGUGAGUUUGGGGGCAUCUGUCCCCCUUCGCAGGGGCUGUAUGAUUAGAAACAAACACAGUGAAUGCAGUUGCCAAGCACUGUCCACCAGAAAGAUAGCAUGGACAUUGAGGCAGCCAUGACAGGACAACUAAAGACACACCUGAAAGAGGACUUCCAGAGCUACUUCAGAAAGUGGCAAGAACAAUGGGAUAAGAGCCUCCAUUCUGAUUUCCAUAAUGGCUUCAGUAACCUACAUUCCCAGCAGGAGCCCACAAAGAUUCCUUUUCCUCCACACCUUCACCAAUACCUGGCAGCCCUUGCUCCCUUACUAACAGCCAUUUACCAGAGAAUGAACUAAGGCACCUCCCUAUUCAGAGGUUCUCCAGAAACAGUGAGGAGACUGCAGACCUCCGACAUCUACCUGCUGCUCAGGGGCAGUAUUUCAGCAGGAGCCUCCCAGCCAAAGUGCCAGGGUUGCUUUACAGAGCCAGACCCAACCUCAGCGGAAACCACAGGCCCGGGACACAGACACUGCCGAUUUAAGAAGUAAUUACAACAUUGAACACGGCCUUAAAUAAAAGCAAAAAUGCAGGAGACAGGAGGGAAAACAGAAGCAUACAUUGGGAACUAUGCCAUUUUCCCCAGAUGUUUUGUAAUAUUUGCAACCUGGCUGCAUCUGACAUGAGCUGAGCACCCACCCAGGAGGAGUGGGUGGCUCUGUCCUGGAAAGAGUGAGAAGAAAAAUAAAUAAAUAGAUUAAUUAAUUAAUUAAAAUUCAAAAAGCAGUGAGAAGAAAUGCCUCAAUAUCAGAGAUCAUCCAUCUGCCUGAAUGCCUUUUUGUUUAAUGCCCUUCUCCAGUGAGAACCCUCUUCUACUGGUCCUCAAGGAAUGAAUUAGUAUACUAUAUCAUGACAAGUAAUGAAAG
rnacentral:lncRNA from 1 species